AGAGUUUGAUCCUGNCUCAGAAGUGAACGUUGGCGGCGCGCCUAACACAUGCAAGUCGAACGAGAAAGCUCCUUCGGGUAGCAAGUAAAGUGGCAAACGAGUGCGUAACACGUGGGAAUCUGCCCUUCAGUGAAGAAUAACCUCGGGAAACUGAGGACAAUGCUGCAUACGUCCCUUCGGGGAGAAAGGUGGCCUCUUGCUGCCGCUGAAGGAUGAGCCUGCGGACUAUCAGCUUGUUGGUGAGGUAAUGGCUCACCAAGGCUAUGACGGUUAGCCGGCCUGAGAGGGUGAUCGGCCACGCUGGAACUUAGACACGGUCCAGACUCCUACGGGAGGCAGCAGUGGGGAAUCUUGCGCAAUGGGCGAAAGCCUGACGCAGCGACGCCGCGUGAAGGAUGAAGGUCUUCGGAUUGUAAACUUCUGUUAAGUGGGAAGAAAGACUCAAGCAUAAUACGCUUGGGGGAUGACGGUACCGCUAGAGAAAGCACCGGCUAAUCUCGUGCCAGCAGCCGCGGUAAUACGAGAGGUGCAGACGUUAUUCGGAAUCAUUGGGCGUAAAGGGUGCGUAGACGGCACAUUAAGUCAACUGUUAAAUAUCCCGGCCUAACCGGGAAGCUGCGGUAGAUACUGAUGUGCUAGAGGAUGGAAGAGAGAAGUGGAAUUCUUGGAGUAGCGGUAAAAUGCGUAGAUCUCAAGAGGAACACCGACGGCGAAGGCAGCUUCUUGGUCCAUUCCUGACGUUGAGGCACGAAAGCGUGGGGAGCAAACAGGAUUAGAUACCCUGGUAGUCCACGCUGUAAACGAUGAUCACUGGAUGUCGGCUUUGCUUUGCAAGGUCGGUAUCGAAGCUAACGCGUUGAGUGAUCCGCCUGGGGACUACGGUCGCAAGGCUAAAACUCAAAGGAAUUGACGGGGGUCCGCACAAGCGGUGGAACAUGUGGUUUAAUUCGACACUACGCGAGGAACCUUACCUAGGCUUGACAUGCUUCUGACCGUCGUAGAAAUACGAUUUUCUGGAUCUUUGAUUCAGACAGUUGCACAGGUGCUGCAUGGCUGUCGUCGGCUCGUGUCGUGAGAUGUUUGGUUAAGUCCUCUAACGAGCGCAACUCUUGCUGCUAGUUGCUAUUUCUUAGGAAAGCACUCUAGCGGGACUGCCUGGGAAACCAGGAGGAAGGUGGGAAUGACGUCAAGUCAUCAUGGUCCUUAUGUCUAGGGCAACACACGUGUUACAAUGGCCAGUACAAAGGGUUGCGAACCUGUAAAGGUGAGCUAAUCUCAGAAAGCUGGUCUAAGUUCGGAUUGAGGUCUGCAACUCGACCUCAUGAAGUUGAAAUCGCUAGUAAUCGCGUAUCAGAACGACGCGGUGAAUACGUUCUCGGACCUUGUACACACCGCCCGUCACACCACGAAAGUUCUUUGUACCCGAAGCCGCCUUAGCCAACCCGUAAGGGAGGCGAGCGUCUAAGGUAUGGGGGAUGAUUGGGGUGAAGUCGUAACCUAGGGAAGCCNU
rnacentral:rRNA from 1 species